GCGGAAAUAGCUCAGUUGGUAGAGCAUAACCUUGCCAAGGUUAGGGUCGCGAGUUCGAGUCUCGUUUUCCGCUC
rnacentral:tRNA from 26 species